UCAGCUUUAGUGUAUUGUCUCUUGUAGGUUUGGAAAAGAUUCACACAGUUUGAGCAAACUUUGGAAAAGAUUCACCCAGCUUUAGUGUAUUUUCUUUAUUUUUUUGGUUGAACAAAAAAGGAAAGAAGCGCUUUCCAGAACAGGCGAAGAGAGUCAAUCAGCUUUAGAGAGUUCAUUACAAGAUGUUGUAUCACGUUAUAGUUUCAUGGAUCUUUGGCCUUGCUCUUCUAAGGAUAUGGAUCAUUUGGCACGGCAAGAGUGAUUGUAGGUAUUCGGAGUUUACUAUGCAGAGUUGGAUCCAAUUUGGCGCUGUCUUAUAGAGGUUUCUUGGAUUGAAAUUACAUAUUUGUAAUUAUAUAUUUGUAAAUCGAUUAUAAGCUCAACAAAAUAGUCU